GCGGCCGCCCGGCCCGCUUGACAUACCAAGAAUAGCUGCACACAAUUGUACCUUUCCCGGCCAAGAAACUUCCCCCGCUGGGGAGCGCGGCCCGCCUCCCUCACCUAGCCGGGGCCAGCAGAGCCCGCUACCCGCUCUCCUGCUGCGAUCCGGCCCCGCCGCCAGCUAAAGAAGUCACUUUCAAGAGAUCAGAAGUAAGAUGGCCAAAUAAAAGCCUCUACCAACCAUCCUCCCCACAGGAACACCAAAUUUAAGAGCUAUCUACACAAAAAAGCACCUUCAUAAAAAACAAAAAUCAGAGAGAACAAGGAUAAAGAAGUAUCCAAAUACAAAGAAAAUGUUAUACAAGUGACCUUUAGAGAUGUUUUAAAGAUGACAAAAUAUUAAUAGCACUUAAGAUGGGCCAAUAAGUUUUACUGUUACCUCUAAUAAAGUUUCAUCACUAGUUUCACCAUGGUUAAUUGGAAAUGGUUUCCGCCCAUCUGUGGAAAACAGACAAACAAUUGAAUGCUUAGCUGUUUUUACAGGAUAAUGUACUUUCAACUUCCAUUUUCCUCUUUCCUCAGUGAGGCGAGAAAAGUUAAAAGUCAUUUUAAAUAAUAUAUCCUAAAACAAAUGUUUUAAUGUGCUACCAUGAAUAUUUUUUA